rnacentral:rRNA from 1 species
AACACCCAAACCCCUGUGAACAUACCUUAAUGUUGCCUCGGCGGAUCAGCCCGCGCCCCGUAAAACGGGACGGCCCGCCAGAGGACCCAAACUCUAAUGUUUCUUAUUGUAACUUCUGAGUAAAACAAACAAAUAAAUCAAAACUUUCAACAACGGAUCUCUUGGUUCUGGCAUCGAUGAAGAACGCAGCAAAAUGCGAUAAGUAAUGUGAAUUGCAGAAUUCAGUGAAUCAUCGAAUCUUUGAACGCACAUUGCGCCCGCUGGUAUUCCGGCGGGCAUGCCUGUUCGAGCGUCAUUUCAACCCUCAAGCCCCCGGGUUUGGUGUUGGGGAUCGGCUCUGCCUUCUGGCGGUGCCGCCCCCGAAAUACAUUGGCGGUCUCGCUGCAGCCUCCAUUGCGUAGUAGCUAACACCUCGCAACUGGAACGCGGCGCGGCCAUGCCGUAAAACCCCAACUUCUGAAUGUUGACCUCGGAUCAGGUAGGAAUACCCGCUGAACUUAAGCAUAUCAAUAAGCGGAGGAAAAG